UACGUAGGGGGCAAGCGUUGUCCGGAUUUAUUGGGCGUAAAGAGCGUGUAGGCGGCCUGACAGGUCUGCUGUGAAAACUCGAGGCUCAACCUCGAGAUGUCGGCGGAAACCGUCUGGCUAGAGUCCGGAAGAGGAGAGUGGAAUUCCUGGUGUAGCGGUGAAAUGCGCAGAUAUUCGGAAGAACACCGGUGGCGAAGGCGACCUUCUGGGCCGCAACUGACGCUGAGGCACGAAAGCCUGGGGAGCGAACGGG
rnacentral:rRNA from 1 species